UACGGAGGGUGCAAGGGUUAAUCGGAAUUACUGGGCGUAAAGCGCACGCAGGUGGCUGAGUCAGUCGAUUGUGAAAGCCCUGGGCUUAACCUGGGAAUUGCAGUCGAUACUACUCAGCUAGAGUAUGGGAGAGGGCAGUGGAAUUCCCGGUGUAGCGGUGAAAUGCGCAGAUAUCGGGAGGAACACCAAUGGCGAAGGCAGCUCGCUGGGACGUUACUGACGCUGAGACGCGAAAGCGUGGGGAGCAAACAGG
rnacentral:rRNA from 1 species